rnacentral:misc_RNA from 1 species
UUGUCCUCGGUGUUCCCCAUUCACCGCUCAGGCGCACUCCAUCGCUCCUUCGACGAGGACUCCAAUGACUACAGCUCCAUCGCUCCUCAUGGUGAUGCCGCCAAGGGAACCACAACGACUACAACGAAGCCGUCCACGAUGCCAUCAGUGGUUGCCCACAUAGGAGCAUGCUCCACCAUGCGCGCACCUUGCCCUGCACACCGGCAGACACACCCUGCGGCUGCCCACACAAGGUGGGAGCUCUCAUGGCAGCAGACGUCGUGUGACUCCGGACUCGGCGUAGACGGCCCACGAGGAGCUGCUAAUGGCGGAGGCUGA